GAGCCUUGGAGCAUCACUGGGGAGAGCGCACACAUCCACCACAAAGAGCAGGCUGAAAUAACGCGACGACACUUGAACGAUUAUUUUAUAAACGCGUCCUCUUAUUCAUUUUUAUUUUUAUUCUCUUUGUGUUGGUUUUAUUGUCAUUGUUAUACUGGAGGAGGCGAAAAAAAGACCGAGCGAAGCUUUACUGCGGCUAAUCAAUUUCCUUUUUCCAGACCUGGGAAUUACAAUGAAACAUGUAGGUGACACAUUUCCAUUCACAAUUCACGAAUCACAAUAGGGAUCCCAGCGGAAGCGACAAAGAAGAAAGCAGGGGAAAAUGGUGACGGCUGCCGCAUCUAUAGGAUCAGCAUCCUCCUCUCCGUGGAGCCCCUGCGUAAAAGAAAAAUCAGUGUGAAAGCCGGUGAAGAAGUGGACGCGAACCUGUGAGAGACAGGAAGACUUGAAGAAACAGAGUAAAGGAUCUGAUCCGGACCGUCCCUGUGCCAAGUGGAGGUUUUCCUGGAGGACUUUCUCAGCUGUUUUCAGAGCCGAGGCUCUGAACACUUCCUGCUCCUAUUCCACUUUUUGUAUUUUUAUGUGGUUGGAAUCACGAUUUCUGACUGCUCUUUUGUUCCAAUCAAGACCAAAACCAGGUGCCAAACUGACUGUGUCAAGAGAAGAAGCAAAAAAAUCUAAACUCUUCAUAUAAAGACUUUAUUUAGUCACCCAGCUUUGGAUACAUCACCCACAAACACAUUAAAACAUCC
ensembl:lncRNA